GUAUCUGUUAAGGCAUAGAUGCUCCGACAGGUAGAGUAGAAAGUAAAUUCGUUAGGGUAAAAACUGAAGUUGUAUGACUUCAGUUUUUU
rnacentral:ncRNA from 1 species